CUCACCAAAUGCCUUCACCCUGCUCUGCACUCCAGCGGUCUGCUGGGUGCCCUUUUGCCUCCUUGGCUUCUGGCUGGGUUUGAGACCUAUUCCUUCCCCACCUCCCUCCCUUCCAGGUCCCCGCAGACGAGCUGAGUCCACGGAAGAAGGCCACAAGCUGGGGCCCCGCGAGGCUUUUCUCCAGGGUGACUGUAGGAUAACCCUGGAAACUCCCUCAGUGCCUCCAUAUGUAUAACUCAGAACCAUGAGGGCAUUGAUGCUCAUAGGGCCGCCCUUAACCAAUGGUGAAAGGAAGUUGAUGGCUGUUUCCAAACCUUCGCAGUAUCAGUGAUUUCAAGGAAUCCUCAUCUCCUUCUGGAGAGAUGAGUGGAAACCAAGGCAAGAGAGGGGACCACCCUAAGGCAACACCUCUGUUGGCCACUGAGCUGGGACUCCGGCCCUCUUGUUCUUUCAACUCUUGGUGACUGGAAAUCUUUCAUUCUCCAGGUUUCCCUCUCUGCCUUUGGAAAGCACAGCUAAGGGACCUAACGGAAUUCUUCGCAUGCUCAGGAUUACCUUUCAGAAUGAAAACAUUGGAGAGCAAAGUGGGUUUGUAGCCUACAGACCCUCCUUCCAGCCCAUGCGGCCUCCCAGCACCUCCUUGGGCCUGGGGGUCGCAAAGGGGUGAGGGCCGACUUCCAGCUGACUCCCCGCAAGUGGGUGACGUCUGAAAAGGUCAGAAGGGCACUGCUCCGGCUUGAUAGUUCAGUGUCAGCUCUGCUGCGGGAUAUCUGAGAACACCUUGAGCAAGUCAAGGUGCACCUCUGUUUCCUCAUGUAUAAGAAAAGAGAUUAUGUCUCAGCUGCCUUGCUGAUAACCCAAAAGGGACUUGUUUAAGGACACCAGUGACGUGUUAUAGGCACUUAAAAAAAAAAAAGAACGCUUUUUUAUUAUGAAAAACUUCAAACCACAUUUAAUGUCAACCAAAUGAUAUAAUGAACCCCCACGGAUGCUUAGUCUGUCAUUAACUGUUCUGUCUCUUGUUUCAUCUGUACCU